rnacentral:lncRNA from 1 species
AUUAACUGACUCACAAGUUCAUAAAGUCGAGGAAUUUAGUCUUGUCAUUCCAACCUUCAGAACUCAGUGAUUUCAGUAGCAUUUUCUAUGCUUUCACUAUUUGCUGUGCAAUGAGUUGCUAUGGUGGCUCAUUUUCUUGAGCCCUGUUCUCUGCCUGAAAUAAUAGGUUCAUGUAUUAAUAAAUAUCUUGUGUUCAUCAGUUCAGCUAAUAACUGUUAUAACCCAUUUAAAAUUAAUGUUUCUAGAAAAGGCCUAUAAAGAUGGACUUUAGUGCCAGAAAUUCCUAUUUGGCUCAGGAAAUAGUUUUUGCCUUGACCUUGAGAGGGACUGUUACCACACUGAAAGCUGGACAUUUCGUCUGGCUCUAGCUCUCUGGUGACAUUUUAUGGGCAAAGGAAUGUGUUGACUCGUACGUAAGAUUGGUUUGACAGUAGCUGCCUUGUCCUAUUAAGGCAGGUAGAGAUGAAACUUUUAGGAGUAGUGGUGACCUAUUUAUUUAUUAGCACCAUAGAAAGUUCAUGGAAACUAUCUAGGUUUUCUAAGAAAUACUACAUUAAGACAGCUAUUUAUUUGAUGUCCAUCUGCCUUUAUUCUCAUUUGCUUGAGAACUCUCAGAAUAGCUUUAAUUUGGAAUAAGAGAUGCUAAAAUUCAAGGCUUAAUGGAAAAAUCUGGUUGAGGAGGUCCAGGGUCAGGCCUAGAAAUAUCUGAUUGCAUUUUGAGAAUAGUAGAAAUAUUCAUUUAAAGAGGGCUUGGAGAAAGUUUUCAGGUAAACAAAUAGAGACUUUACAAACAUAGGAAUAAAUUAAUUUUCUGUUAUUUUUUAGUAUAUAUUUUGCUAACAGAUACUAGUUUUUGGUGUGAUUACAGGUAAAUCUAGUGGUUGGAAAAUCAUUGCUGUAUUGAAGUGCCAAAACCAAAAGCCUAGUAGAGAUUGUCACUUUUUAUAUGAAUUAUAUAGCCUCCACACAAAUCAUUUUAUUACUGUACAGUGGUAUAUAAUCAGAUGAGGCAGACCUCCUGUCUUUCAGAGUUGUGUAUGUUUGUUUUUAGAUUAAUAUCCAGUUAAAAGUAUUUUCCAACUUUUAAAAUGGAAUACCUUGACAACAAAUUAUCUACUUAUGGAUUGUAAAGCAGUAUAAAGUUAUGCCAGUUUUAUCCUAUAAAUAACAGUUGUUUUAUAAAUGUGUGUAUCUCUCAAAAAAACUUACAUAUAGUAUCAUCUCAGAAACAGGAGCUUACCAUGUACUGUUUAUAUGUUCACUUACAUAUAUACGUUUCUUUUUGUUCUAUAGUGAAUUACUUCAUUGGAAGAAAACUUUUUAAAGUUUUUCUGAAAUGGAAUAUGAGUUCAAUUGUGUGUGUGUGUGUGUGUGUGUGUUUGUUUCUGCUCCUGCCUUAUCUUUUAAAUUACAGUUGGGGAAAUCUGAUAUAGAAAUUAAGAGUUAGCCAGGAGUUAGGGUUAGCCAUAUCUUAUGCCUUAAUUCCAGCACUCAGGGAGACAGAGGCAGAUGAUCUCAGCUGGCCUGGUUUCCUUAGCAAGUUCCAGGCAGGCCAGGCCUAAGAAGUGUGAGACCUUAUCUCAAAAAGCAACAAUAACAAAACAAGAACAACAAAAAAUGAAAUCAAGGGCUAACUAGCAUC